rnacentral:rRNA from 1 species
GAUGAACGCUAGCGGCAGGCUUAAUACAUGCAAGUCGAGGGGCAGCGGGAGUAGCAAUACUUGCCGGCGACCGGCGCACGGGUGCGUAACACGUAUGUAAUCUGCCCAUCACAGGAGGAUAGCCCGGAGAAAUUCGGAUUAAUACUCCAUAAUAGAAGAUAAAGCAUUUUAUUUCUUGAAAGUUCCGACGGUGAUGGAUGAACAUGCGACUGAUUAGUUUGUUGGUGAGGUAACGGCUCACCAAGACUACGAUCAGUAGGGGUACUGAGAGGUUAAACCCCCACACUGGUACUGAGACACGGACCAGACUCCUACGGGAGGCAGCAGUAAGGAAUAUUGGACAAUGGCCGCAAGGCUGAUCCAGCCAUGCCGCGUGCAGGAAGACGGACCUAUGGUUUGUAAAACUG